rnacentral:rRNA from 1 species
AUUGAACGCUGGCGGCAUGCCUUACACAUGCAAGUCGAACGGUAACAGGUUAAGCUGACGAGUGGCGAACGGGUGAGUAAUACAUCGGAACGUGCCCAGUAGUGGGGGAUAGCCCGGCGAAAGCCGGAUUAAUACCGCAUACGACCUAAGGGUGAAAGGGGGGGAUCGCAAGACCUCUCGCUAUUGGAGCGGCCGAUGUCAGAUUAGCUAGUUGGUGGGGUAAAAGCUCACCAAGGCGACGAUCUGUAGCUGGUCUGAGAGGACGACCAGCCACACUGGGACUGAGACACGGCCCAGACUCCUACGGGGGGCAGCAGUGGGGAAUUUUGGACAAUGGGCGCAAGCCUGAUCCAGCCAUGCCGCGUGCGGGAAGAAGGCCUUCGGGUUGUAAACCGCUUUUGUCAGGGAAGAAAUCCUUUGGGUUAAUACCUCGGGGGGAUGACGGUACCUGAAGAAUAAGCACCGGCUAACUACGUG